UUCGAUCCGGCUGUUAUAUUAAUGACGCGCCAUCAACCUAUUAGCACGUCAAGCAAAGCGGUAGUUCAGAGGGACAACUAAGCUAACCGACGGCAGCAUUCCGCGAACGCAUCACUCUUCACCAGUCCGGGACCCAGGACAUAUGGCGGUACAUCAGCCUUGCAAGUGUUUUUAUGUGCGCCGACAGUAUGCCGACAGCAUCGAGGUUUCUACAUAUCCCCGGUGGCCAGCAAUUCAACGGUGACGAGAACCUUAGCUUUACGCUGAAGCAGUGCCGCUGCGUCUGGUGCUGACCGCGACGGUCGGUCGAUGCAUCCACCAAUGGAAAAGAUAGUACAAGCGCGGUAUACGAAUCAACCUUGCCGAUGUCAUCUGCAGAAGUCGCAGAAACGAGAAAUAAACAAACACUUAUUACAAA